UCUCGGCAAAUUAUCCUCAUAAGUUCGACGACAAGAGGAACCAUUUUUAAGAAAUUAAUAACUCCAUUGAAUUUUAUUAAUCUCUUUUGUGGUGGCACAAAAUCGGAAGCCCCGACUGUUUACUAAAAACACAGCUAUCUGCAACGAUGUAAAUCAUAGUAUAGGUAGUGAGGUUUGCCCGAUGCCAUUAAUAUAAGAGAAGUGAUGGGUAACUGUUAAUUAUCGAAAAUCUGGUUAAUAGCGGUCUUAACUAUGAGGAUCCUAAGGUAGCAAAAUAAAUUGGCCAUUAAAUGUGGUCCGGUAUCAAUAAUUUAACGAUGGCUUCACUGUCUCUACAACUUGCUCAGUGAAAUUGAAUUACCCGUGCAGAUGCGGGUUGCCACCAGGGGGACGGGAAGACCCUAUGCAGCUUCUACUGA
rnacentral:rRNA from 1 species